GGCAGAGCGAAUCUCAAAAAGACCGUCCCAGUUCGGAUUGCAGGCUGCAACCCGCCUGCAUGAAGUUGGAAUCGCUAGUAAUCGCGGAACAGCAUGCCGCGGUGAAUACGUUCCCGGGCCUUGUACACACCGCCCGUCACACCAUGAGAGUCGGGAACACCCGAAGUCCGUAGCCUAACCGCAAGGGGGGCGCGGCCGAAGGUGGGUUCGAUAAUUGGGGUGAAGUCGUAACAAGGUACC
rnacentral:rRNA from 1 species